rnacentral:rRNA from 1 species
CCUACGGGGGGCUGCAGUGAGGAAUAUUGGUCAAUGGACGAGAGUCUGAACCAGCCAAGUAGCGUGAAGGAUGACUGCCCUAUGGGUUGUAAACUUCUUUUAUAUGGGAAUAAAACGUUCCACGUGUGGGAUUUUGUAUGUACCAUAUGAAUAAGGAUCGGCUAACUCCGUGCCAGCAGCCGCGGUAAUACGGAGGAUCCGAGCGUUAUCCGGAUUUAUUGGGUUUAAAGGGAGCGUAGGUGGAUUGUUAAGUCAGUUGUGAAAGUUUGCGGCUCAACCGUAAAAUUGCAGUUGAAACUGGCAGUCUUGAGUACAGUAGAGGUGGGCGGAAGUCGUGGUGUAGCGGUGAAAUGCUUAGAUAUCACGAAGAACUCCGAUUGCGAAGGCAGUUCACUGGACUGCAACUGACACUGAGGCUCGAAAGUGUGGGUAUCAAACAGGAUUAGAUACCCUAGUAGUC